CAUAAGAUUCAACCUAUCCAGUGCACAAUGUUGUCUAGCAGACCUUCUAAGAGGUUCAUGUACAACUUUCUCACCUUGUACUAGAUUAAGUUGCUGUACAAUCUAAUUUUGAACAUGUUCACUAACUGGUUCUAAAACAAUAUUUGUUUAUUGAACCUCAAUCAUUGGAGACGACAACUUCCUUGUCAUCUUCAAACCAUCUAGUAAAGGUUGC
rnacentral:lncRNA from 1 species